rnacentral:rRNA from 1 species
UCAGGCCUAACACAUGCAAGUCGAACGAGAUUAUAGGGUAAGCUUGCUUACCUUAUAUGACAGUGGCGCACGGGUGCGUAACGCGUAUGCAAUCUACCUUAAUCAGGGGGAUAGCCUCUCGAAAGAGAGAUUAAUACCGCAUAACAUUAUGAUAUGGCAUCAUAUUAUAAUCAAACAUUUAUGGGAUUAAGAUGAGCAUGCGCGACAUUAGCUAGUUGGUGAGGUAACGGCUCACCAAGGCAACGAUGUCUAGGGGAUCUGAGAGGAUGACCCCCCACACUGGUACUGAGACACGGACCAGACUCCUACGGGAGGCAGCAGUAAGGAAUAUUGGUCAAUGGACGCAAGUCUGAACCAGCCAUGCCGCGUGCAGGAAGACGGCCCUAUGGGUUGUAAACUGCUUUUAUACGGGAAUAAACCUUCUUUCGCGAAAGAAGCUGAA